rnacentral:lncRNA from 1 species
UGAAGGAGCAGUUGAGCAAACCCAAAGAAGGUUUAACUUACCUAAAAAAACAAAAAACAAAAAAACGCUCAUAAGAAUGGGCUAGUACCCUUCUGGAGGGUGGGCCACCUUUUGCCAGGCUUUCCAACCCUUCAGGAGACAUGUACAUGAUCCCAGUUCCAAACUGAAAUGUGUCUCAUUUCUCCGAGCGCCCAUACUUCACUCGUGAGCGCAUCCUAAAUCUCUAACGAACCCUUCUCGUGUAUCUUACUGACACAUCCUGAAAACUCUUUCUCGGUGAUGGGAGUCAGUAAACCUGCCAUGAAAAAUUGUUUAAGUUCCUUAUUUCCACUUGGGGAAUCUUUCAGACCCAGCCUGGUUUCAUCUCCACAACUAGACCCAGAUUCUGGACCCAGAGCUGCCAGAGACGAUAAGCUGUCCUUCCACUGCUCUGAGAGGACUCUGUGGAGGGCAGUAGGCGAAGCCUGCUUGAAGGGCCAAGAUACUUUAUGGUUGCAGUUCAGAACACCUUCAGGUUUCCAACCCCAUGGCUAGGAACAAGUGAAGCCUGGGCUUAACUCUGCCAACUGUUGAUUUAUUGUAAAUCAAAACUACUCCUGAAAAUUGCUCUGAUGGGAAAGGAGGCCAUCGAUUAGGUAUGUGCUACGUCUUUCUCUUUUUUUGCUGUCUCUUCCUUUCCCCCUAAGACAAUGGACUCAGUUGGAGUGCUUCGUCACACAUAGCCCUGGAGUGGAACCUGUGGGAGUUGAACAGGGAGAUUUGCAGGAGAAUGGCAGGCUAUGAAUUCUUAUUCUUGGGUUACUUGAAGAGAAUGUAGUAUCUCUGGCAUAGUGACAAACCCAGUAGAACUCUGAUGUUCACCAAGAAGGCUUGAUGGGGACAGGUUUCGGGGAUGAUAGAAAAAAUGGUACCCUGUAAAGGGUUUACAUUGAUCACAGCGGGAUGGAAGGGAGGAAGGUCAGUACCUGGUGAGGAAACUCACCUUAGAGGAAACAUUUGGGGUAGAGUAGAAGAUAGCAAUAGGUGAGAAUUCAGGACACAGAGUAUGCCAGGCUCCUGACUAAUAGGUGACUAGAGGACCCGGGGAUUUAGCUCAGUGGUUCCGCCACCUGCCUUGCAAAUGCAAGGACCCGAGUUCGAUCCCCAGUACCAAAAAACNNNNNNNNNNNNNNNNNNNNNNNNNNNNNNNNNNAAAAAAAAAAACUGACUAGAGUUUUGACAUUAAAAUCAAGAGCUAAGGGGGUAGAAGCUUUGUAGUAGCAGCAAUACUUAAAGACAAAAUAUGUGUGUAGAUAAGAAGGAAAAUGUUGACUGAGAGUCUGAGGCAGUUAGGCCAGAGAAAGUGAGAAAGAAUGAAAUCUCUGUCUUCACUUGAUUCAGUGAAGUAAGCGCUACUGAAGCUCUACUAUGUGUCACAUUCUGUGCCACAUGGUCGAGCUAGGUGCUGACACGCUGGUGAAGAAGAAUUCCCGUCCACCAAGGACACUUAACCGACUGGGAAACAGACAUGUAAACAAAGGACAGUGCUGUAGAAUGCAUGCAGCAGAGAAGGUAUGUGCAAGGUGGGUGCAUGGGAAACAGACAUGUAAACAAAGGACAGUGCUGUAGAAUGCGUGCAGCAGAGAAGGUAUGUGCAAGGUGGGUGCGAAGGUGACCUCAAG